CGAAGGCAAGCGGAUCUCUUAAAGCUGUUCUCAGUUCGGACUGCAGUCUGCAACUCGACUGCACGAAGCUGGAAUCGCUAGUAAUCGCGGAUCAGCACGCCGCGGUGAAUACGUUCCCGGGCCUUGUACACACCGCCCGUCACACCAUGGAAGUCUGCAAUGCCCGAAGCCGGUGGCCUAACCACUUAUGUGGAAGGAGCCGUCUAAGGCAGGGCAGAUGACUGGGGUGAAGUCGUAACAAGGUAUC
rnacentral:rRNA from 1 species